rnacentral:tRNA from 1 species
GGGUGAUUAGCUCAGGGGUAGAGCAUCUCGUUUACACCGAGAGGGUCGGCGGUUCGAACCCGUCAUCACCCACCA